AAGGAUGUAGCUCAGUGGUAGAGCAAGUGCUUAGCAUGUAUUAGACCCUAGUUUUAAUCCCCAGCACCAAUA
rnacentral:tRNA from 1 species